rnacentral:rRNA from 1 species
AACGAACGCUGGCGGCAUGCCUAACACAUGCAAGUCGAACGAGACCUUCGGGUCUAGUGGCGCACGGGUGCGUAACGCGUGGGAACCUGCCCUUAGGUUCGGAAUAACUCCCCGAAAGGGGUGCUAAUACCGGAUAAUGUCUUCGGCCCAAAGAUUUAUCGCCUUUGGAUGGGCCCGCGUUGGAUUAGCUAGUUGGUAGGGUAAAAGCCUACCAAGGCGACGAUCCAUAGCUGGUCUGAGAGGAUGAUCAGCCACACUGGGACUGAGACACGGCCCAGACGCCGACGGGAGGCAGCAGUGGGGAAUAGUGGACAAGGGGCGAAAGCCGGAGCCAGCAAUGCCGCGUGAGUGAUGAAGGCCUUAGGGGGGUAAAGCGCGGUUACCCGGGAUGAGAAUGACAGUACCGGGAGAAUAAGCGCCGGCUAACUCCGUG